rnacentral:rRNA from 1 species
CCCUUAGAUGUUCUGGGCCGCACGCGCGCUACAAUGAUGAAUUCAACGAGUUUAUAACCUUGGUUGAAAAGCCUGGGUAAUCUUUUGAACUUUCGUCGUGAUGGGGCUAGACCCUUGCAAUUAUUGGUCUCCAACGAGGAAUUCCUAGUAAACGCAAGUCAUCAGCUUGCAUUGAUUACGUCCCUGCCCUUUGUACACACCGCCCGUCGCACCUACCGAUUGAAUGGUCCGGUGAAAUCUUCGGAUUGAGACUUUGAUUUCUUCACGGAAUACGCUGUUUUAAAAAGUUGAUUAAACCUUACCAUUUAGAGGAAGGUGAAGUCGUAACA